rnacentral:rRNA from 1 species
CGGCGUGCCUAACACAUGCAAGUCGAGCGAGAAAGCCCGCAAGGGUGAGUACAGCGGCGCACGGGUGAGUAACACGUGGGUAAUCUGCCCUGGAGUCCGGAAUAACUCGCCGAAAGGCGUGCUAAUGCCGGAUGAGACCACGGGGGCUUCGGCUCCUGAGGGAAAAGGUGGCCUCUGCAUGCAAGCUAUCACUCCAGGAUGAGCCCGCGGCCCAUCAGCUAGUUGGCGGGGUAACGGCCCACCAAGGCUACGACGGGUAGCUGGUCUGAGAGGACGAUCAGCCACACUGGAACUGAGACACGGUCCAGACUCCUACGGGAGGCAGCAGUGGGGAAUCUUGCGCAAUGGGCGAAAGCCUGACGCAGCAACGCCGCGUGUGUGAUGAAGGUCUUCGGAUCGUAAAGCACUGUCGGGAGGGACGAAUAAGGCGCCGGCGAAUAUCCGGCGACGAUGACGGUACCUCCAAAGGAAGCACCGGCUAACUCUGUGCCAGCAGCCGCGGUAAUACAGAGGGUGCAAGCGUUGUUCGGAAUUAUUGGGCGUAAAGCGCGUGUAGGCGGCCAGCCAAGUCGGGUGUGAAAGCCCUCGGCUUAACCGAGGAAGUGCGCCCGAAACUAGCUGGCUUGAGUACCGGAGAGGGUGGCGGAAUUCCCGGUGUAGAGGUGAAAUUCGUAGAUAUCGGGAGGAACACCAGUGGCGAAGGCGGCCACCUGGACGGAUACUGACGCUGAGACGCGAAAGCGUGGGGAGCAAACAGGAUUAGAUACCCUGGUAGUCCACGCUGUAAACGAUGAGCGCUAGGUGUUGUGGGUGUUGACCCCCGCAGUGCCGCAGCUAACGCAUUAAGCGCUCCGCCUGGGAAGUACGGCCGC